UACGUAGGUCCCGAGCGUUGUCCGGAUUUAUUGGGCGUAAAGCGAGCGCAGGUGGUUUAUUAAGUCUGGUGUAAAAGGCAGUGGCUCAACCAUUGUAUGCAUUGGAAACUGGUAGACUUGAGUGCAGGAGAGGAGAGUGGAAUUCCAUGUGUAGCGGUGAAAUGCGUAGAUAUAUGGAGGAACACCGGUGGCGAAAGCGGCUCUCUGGCCUGUAACUGACACUGAGGCUCGAAAGCGUGGGGAGUAAACAGG
rnacentral:rRNA from 1 species